AUGUGUGGUUUACAUAAUCAUAAUUUAUGUGCAAACUUAGUCGAUCAUUCAAUUGCAUGUUGGCUCUUGUCGAAAGAGAACGAAUGUGUUUCCGACAUGACAUUGAAUUUAGUACCUCCCAAAAACAUACUUGCAACUUUGAAGCGCAAAAGACCCGGGAAUAUCUCAAAUAUCAAGCAAGUGUACAAUAAGAGCUUUCAAUCCAAAUUAGUGCUUAGGGGAGAUCGAAAUGAAAUGCGACACCUCUUGAAACUUCUAGAUGAUAACAAUUACGUUUCUAGGAACCAAAGAUGUGAGGAUGGAGUAACAGUAAAGUGA